rnacentral:rRNA from 1 species
AUUAAACGCUGGCGGCAUGCCUUACACAUGCAAGUCGAACGGCAGCACGGGGGCAACCCUGGUGGCGAGUGGCGAACGGGUGAGUAAAGCAUCGGAACGUGCCCUGGAGUGGGGGAUAACGUAGCGAAAGUUACGCUAAUACCGCAUAUUCUGUGAGCAGGAAAGCAGGGGAUCGCAAGACCUUGCGCUCUGGGAGCGGCCGAUGUCGGAUUAGCUAGUUGGUGGGGUAAAGGCCUACCAAGGCGACGAUCCGUAGUGGGUCUGAGAGGAUGAUCCGCCACACUGGGACUGAGACACGGCCCAGACUCCUACGGGAGGCAGCAGUGGGGGAAUUUUGGACAAUGGGCGAAAGCCUGAUCCAGCCAUGCCGCGUGAGUGAAGAAGGCC